ensembl:lncRNA
CCCUGGGUUUCAACCCUGCCUCUGUGACAGAUGAGCCGAGUGAUGACAGAGAAGAUAUUUUCAUCUCAUAGAGUUGGUUUUCCCAUUUGGAAAAUGGGAGAGAACAGCAAUCCUUCUUAGGACUGUUUGAAGGUAAAAUGAGCUGACUCAUGAAGAUUAAACAUGAAGCCUGUAGUACAUGCCAGUGUGUCAUGUGGCUGGAUUCUGGAGGGGGCUAAAGAGGAGGCUAUCUCAACUUGAGAUACAGGCCUGUGGGGGUCCCACACGACUAAGCACGGCUGGACCAGCCACGGCUAUAGCUCUCCCACAGGCUAACGUGCAGAGGAGUAAACCUGGGGAUCUGGUUUAGUGCCAAGUGUGACUCAGCAGACCUGUCUUCCUAAUGUGCUAUCAGUUACUGCUGUUUGCUUGGGGACCCCAUCUGGAUAAGCAGAGUGAGGAGAAUGGCUAGACUCCCCUAACUUCAUCACGUGGAUACAGUAAUAGCUACUAGGUAUGGGCUAAUGCUAGUGGUAAAAAACAUGCCUCCCAAUGCAGGAGACACAAGAGAUGGGAGUUCAAUCCCUGGGUUGGGAAAAUCCCCUGGAGGAGGGCAUGGCAACCCAUUCCAGUAUUCUUGCCUGGGAAAUCCCAUGGGCAGAGGAGUCUGGUGGGCUACAGUCCAUAGAGUCGUAGAGUCGGACAUGACUGACGCGACUUAGCACAGCACUUUUAGUACCUACCAGGUGCCAAGAACUGCACAUCUCAACAACUGGCAAAUAAUUUUUUCUGCCCAUUUUAGAGGUGAGGAGACUGGGGUUCAAAGAGGUUUAAUGACUUGCCUAAGAUCACACAGCUAGUCAGUGAAUUCAAACCUAAAUCACAAGACUGCAGAGCUCUUUCCACUCAGAGGCAUGGAUUUUUACCAUCUCUGAGAGGCUUCCUGAGAGGUGCUGGCUGCCUCACCUGGGGGAGGAGGAAGAAGAAAAAGCAGCCCCAGGCAGCCAACGAGAACAUAUCCUGCCAUGAAUAAAGUAUGUGAGUCUGUUUCCAAAGCUGGGGAAUCUUGGGGAUACCUCCUUACUGCCUAGGGGGCAGCCCCUGUGGGAACAUCUGCUUUAGGGCUGAAGGUAGGGCAUGGAGUGCUGGUGGCCUGUCAUCAGAGUGUGUGUGUACGUGUGUGUGCAUGUGUGCACGUACGAGAAUAAAGAGGGCAGCCUAUGCCCAGGCUGGGCCACUGUUUUUCCUUUGGCUCCUGAGAGAGAAUGUCUUCUUGUUUAACUAUUGCUCUGAAUUACUCCCCUCCCCCCAUGCACAGUUUGCAAAACAGAAAACUCCCUCCAUUCGAUAGUGUCAGUGUCUCAGCAUUGGGACUAUACAACCAAAUAUCUAAAAUCCCACCAUUCAGUGACCCUGAAGGACAUCUCAGUUACCACUGUUUUUAGAGAACAGGUGGAACUAGAUUUUUUCCAACCUGAAAAGACACUGUUGGGCCCUAACAAUAAAAUGCUUUGGAAUAUUUCAAAGCUAAGACUUUGUGUAACUUCUUAGAGGAAGUGAAUGACUGUUUCUUACCCAGUUCAGAGCUUCUCCCAGUGAUCUUGGCAUGGUGGGAGGAUAAUAUUUAUUCACGUCAAAGUGUUCACAUCUCUUCCUUCUGUAGCAUCCUUACAUUUUGCUUGCUUAGAUCCUCUCCCUGCUUCAUUCCUCUUCCCUCUAAGGAUACUUUGCUUUUGUCAGUUUCAUUCCUGGCAGUGAGUCCACACAGACAAGGGGCAAUGGAGAGUAAUAAAGUUGGACCUAGAGACAAAGUUAACAAAAAAAAAUCAGAACAAAGACUUACAGAAGUGCAAGAAAACAUAUUGAAAGUAAAGUGGAAGAAAGAAAAGAGUCAACACAUUAUCAGGGAGAAAUCUAGGUUGAAAGUUAAAUUGUACUUAAUGUCUUGGACAGACUGAGCCACAUGGAGUCACAAAUAUAUUAGGGUUUCAGCACAUGCAGUUAAUCUUAUGGUUGACCUUGAACUGAAAACUGGUGAAAGCAGCCAAGAGAAGCUAGUGUGAUUAUUGAAGACUUCCUCAGAAGAUGGGGUUUGGGCUGAAUCUUGGUAGGAAAGAUUUCCUUAAGCAGAGAUAGUUGGAUGGGCCUGGGGAAGAAGGGCCCCUAAAACUAGGGGGCCAGGGUGAGCACCACAGACGAACAAACCAGAAUAAAAGAACCUAUGACCCAACAUGUGUGCUAAACUGAUACACACAACUGUGCACACCAGUGAGAACCCAAGCAUGACCUCGUAUAGGCCUAUAAUUUGAAUGAGUGAAAGUAAGGUCCUGUCUGAGAUCACACAGCUGGUUGGUGCCUGGCUCCCAUUUUCAGUUUCUUUCCAUUUUAAUACUGUUUUUCUUCUUUUAGACAAAAAGCCACAGAGUGGAUGACUUUCAGGAUGGUGAAGGAGCAAAAGGAGCUUACUGUUUCUGGAAACUGCCUAGUGUGUUGGCUUUGUGAAAAUGAAAUCAAUAAGCUUUGAAGUUGACUCAGCUGCCUGCUUCUCAGAAAAAUGGAAGGUCAACGGAUGAGUCUCUUAAAAGAUUAAGCUUAAAAAGACAGAAAUCUAUCAUGUAAACCUGGCUGCAAAAAAUGUCUUUAUGAUUUUAAACAAAGAAAGUUGUGAAUGUCCACUUCUCAGGAAGUUAAGAGAUUAAAAGCAUAUCUCACUUUCUCAGCCAUUAAAAUAUAACAAAAACCCAUUUCCUACUUUUCCAAUGUGCUGGAAAAUCGAUUAGGUAAUGUCUGCAAAAGCUUUCCGGUAUAACAUGUUAUCUCACUGCUAAGCGUUAUUUUAUUUAAAUUUGUUUCUGCUUCCUUUCUGGCAACUCCCAUGUCUAUCUGGGAUGCAGCGAUGGAGAUUAUUAAUUACCUGCAAUUUUAUAAGCCUGAAAAUUCUCAGGAGCAGGAAAGUUUAAAAAGAUAGAAAUGAAAAUUUGGGUACAUUCAGACAGAGGCUCAUUUAAAUGUCAAAAUAAUUAUUCCAAAUCAAAAAGAAUCAAAAUAACCUGUCACCUCACAGCUCCUAAGGGGAAGAGAAGGUGCUUUGUAAAGUCAAAAUGAUCCUAGUCAUUAAUAUACUUAACAUACUAAGGAAGAGCAAAAAUACAAAAAGGCAACAAUUUCAAAUAAUGUGGUAAGUGUAUGUGCAUUCAAUCAUGUCCAACUCUUUACGACCCCGUACAGUUUAAUGGCAUGGGAAUGUAAUGGCAUGAGAGAAACCAG